GCUAAAAACCUAGCUCUAACCAUACUUAUGCAACCUUUCCACCUUAUAUCUAAAACUAAAACAUUCUAACAGCUUAGUAAAGGAGAUUGAAAAAUUUAUUGAAGCAAUAUAACCAGUACCGCAAGGGAAAGAUGAAAUAUGAAUGAAAAAUCUUUAAGCAAAAUAAAGUAGAGCUUUACCCUCGUACCUUUUGCAUCAUGGUUCAACUAGUCUAACCAAGCAAAAAGCAUUAUAGUUUGACACCCCGAAACUAGGCGAGCUACUUCGAGGCAGCCUUUAGGGCUAACCCGUCUCUGUGACAAAAGAGUGGGAAGACCGCCAAGUAGCGGCGACAAACCAACCGAGCCUAGUGAUAGCUGGUUACUCAAGAAAAGGAUUUAAGUCCAACCUAAAGUCCUCCUCUUACACCAAAAACCCUGACUUUAGAGCAAUUCAAAUAAGGUACAGCCUAUUUGAAACAGGAUACAACCUCACCUGACGGCUAAAAUCUACUAUUUAACUUCAAGUUGGCCUAAAAGCAGCCAUCUUUUAAAAAGCGUCACAGCUUAGUCUUAAACUAACUUCAAUCCCACACCUAUAUUUUAACCCUCUUCCAGUACUGAGUAAUUCUAUACUCUUAUAGAAAAUUUUAUGUUGAAACUAGUAACAAGAAGUCAGACCUUCUCUUAAAUGCAAGCAUAAAUCAGAAAGGACCGACCACUGAUAAUUAACGCCAAUGAUCAUCAAUCAGCAACUUCCAAAGAAAAAUCUAAUUCCAAUCAACGUUAACCUGACACAAGAGCAUUUCAAGAAAGAUUUAAAGAAAGAGAAGGAACUCGGCAAACAUUAACCCCGCCUGUUUACCAAAAACAUCGCCUCUUGAACAAAAAUAAGAGGUCCAGCCUGCCCAGUGACUAAUGUUCAACGGCCGCGGUAUCCUAACCGUGCGAAGGUAGCGUAAUCACUUGUUCUUUAAAUGAGGACUAGUAUGAACGGCACCACGAGGGUUAUACUGUCUCCUCUUUCUAAUCAGUGAAACUAAUCCCCCCGUGAAGAAGCGGGGAUAAAACUAUAAGACGAGAAGACCCUAUGGAGCUUUAAAUUUACCUUCAAGCGCCAAAAUUAGAUACCAAGUUUUUAACUUCACCAUAUGAACUCUCGCGCCAUGGGGGCAACUUUUAGGUUGGGGUGACCAUGGAGUAUAAAACAACCUCCAUGCUGAAUAGGCCUCUAAGCCUCGAGCCAAGGGCUACAACCCAUCGCACUAAAACACUAACAUCCAUUGAUCCAAUGUACUUUGAUCAACGAACCAAGUUACCCUAGGGAUAACAGCGCAAUCUACUUCAAGAGUUCCUAUCGACAAGUGGGUUUACGACCUCGAUGUUGGAUCAGGGUGUCCCAGUGGUGCAGCCGCUACUAAUGGUUCGUUUGUUCAACGAUUAAAACCCU
rnacentral:rRNA from 1 species